CUCUGAAAAUCUGAAUAAAGUGGGUUGUUCCAGAUAUUGCUCAGAAGAACAGCAUACUUUGAUUAAAAAGUUGACAGGACAGGGGAAAACAUAUAAAGGAUUGCAGAAAAUGA